rnacentral:rRNA from 1 species
AUUGAACGCUGGCGGCAGGCCUAACACAUGCAAGUCGAGCGAGCGGCGGACGGGUGAGUAAUGUAUGGGGACUGCCCGAUAGAGGGGGAUAACUACUGGAAACGGUGGCUAAUACCGAAUAAUAUCGGAUAAACAAUAAGGGAUUAGCUAGUAGGUGGGGUAAAGGCUCACCUAGGCGACGAUCUCUAGCUGGUCUGAGAGGACGAUCAGCCACACUGGGACUGCGCCACGGCCCAGACUCCUACGGAGGCACCAGUGGGGAAUAUUGCACAAGGGGCUCAAGUCUGAUGCAGCCCUGCCGCUUGUAUGAAGAAGGCCUUAGGGUGGUAAAGUACUUUCAGCGGGGAGGCGUUACCCGCAGAAUAAGCACCGGCUAACUCCGUGCCAGCAGCCGCGGUAAUAC